UACGAGAGGCCCAAACGUUAUUCGGAAUUACUGGGCUUAAAGAGUUCGUAGGCGGCAUUGCAAGUAGGGUGUGAAAGCCCUCGGCUCAACCGAGGAAUUGCGCUCUAAACUGCAGUGCUUGAGGAACCUAGAGGUGAGCAGAACAGAUGGUGGAGCGGUGAAAUGCGUUGAUAUCAUCUGGAAUACCGGAGGCGAAGGCGGCUCACUGGGGGUUUUCUGACGCUGAGGAACGAAAGCCAGGGUAGCGAACGGG
rnacentral:rRNA from 1 species